UCAAACUUGGUCAUUUAGAGGAAGUAAAAGUCGUAACAAGGUCUCCGUUGGUGAACCAGCGGAGGGAUCAUUACCGAGUUCUUGGCAACUCCCAACCCUGUGAACCAUACCAAACGUUUUUGUUCUCGUUGCUUCUGGCAGGCGGCCCUCCGGGGCUCGCAGGCUCCGGUGCCACGCCCGGGUGCCUGCCAGGGGCGGCUUGCUCCAACUACUCUUCUUACCUGACCGUCUGAGAACGAUUUUCAUAAAUCAAAUCAAAACUUUCAACAACGGAUCUCUUGGCUCUGGCAUCGAUGAAGAACGCAGC
rnacentral:misc_RNA from 1 species